rnacentral:rRNA from 1 species
ACGGGAGGCAGCAGUGGGGAAUAUUGCACAAUGGGCGAAAGCCUGAUGCAGCGACGCCGCGUGAGUGAAGAAGUAUUUCGGUAUGUAAAGCUCUAACAGCAGGGAAGAAAAUGACGGUACCUGACUAAGAAGCCCCGGCUAACUACGUGCCAGCAGCCGCGGUAAUACGUAGGGGGCAAGCGUUAUCCGGAUUUACUGGGUGUAAAGGGAGCGCAGACGGCAAGGCAAGUCUGAAGUGAAAGCUCGGGGCUCAACCCCGGAACUGCUUUGGAAACUGUUUAGCUAGAGUGCAGGAGAGGUAAGUGGAAUUCCUAGUGUAGCAGUGAAAUGCUUAGAUAUUAGGAGGAACACCAGUGGCGAGGGCGGCUUACUGGACUGUAACUGACGUUGAGGCUCGAAAGCGUGGGGAGCAAACAGGAUUAGAUACCCUGGUA